CAGUCGCCACGGUAAAACGUAGGUGGCAAGCGUUGUCCGGAAUUAUUGGGCGUAAAGGGCUCGCAGGCGGUUUCUUAAGUCUGAUGUGAAAGCCCCCGGCUCAACCGGGGAGGGUCAUUGGAAACUGGGAAACUUGAGUGCAGAAGAGGAGAGUGGAAUUCCACGUGUAGCGGCGAAAUGCGUAGAGAUGUGGAGGAACACCAGUGGCGAAGGCGACUCUCUGGUCUGUAACUGACGCUGAGGAGCGAAAGCGUGGGGAGCGAACAGGAUUAGAUACCCGGGUAGUCCCUGUCUCUUAUAC
rnacentral:rRNA from 1 species